rnacentral:rRNA from 1 species
AUACGGAGGAUCCGAGCGUUAUCCGGAUUUAUUGGGUUUAAAGGGUGCGCAGGCGGCCAUUUAAGUCAGCGGUUAAAUCGUGGGGCUCAACCCCAUUCUGCCGUUGAUACUGGGUGGCUUGAUUGCGGUCGAGGUUGGCGGAAUUCGUUGUGUAGCGGUGAAAUGCAUAGAUAUGACGAAGAACACCGAUUGCGUAGGCAGCUGACCAGACCGCAAAUGACGCUCAUGCACGAAAGUGCGGGGAUCGAACAGGAUUAGAUACCCUGGUAGUCCGCACAGUAAACGAUGAAUACUUGUUUUCGGCGAUAUAAUGUCGGAGGCAAAGCGAAAGCGAUAAGUAUUCCACCUGGGGAGUACGUUCGCAAGAAUGAAACUCAAAGGAAUUGACGGGG